GUGAGCAAAUGGGUGAACUCUAUGAGGCAGUGAACUGAGCAAUCAGCUGCCAACUAGGCUCUGUUACAGUUACACCUCUAGGUUAGUGUCUCUGCACGUUCUUUUGGCGCUUGCACCUGAGCAUACGAGGCUGCGUUAUCCACUUGAGAGUAACAGAGAGCUGUGCCUGAAUCCACUGUUGUCACGGAGCUAAAGGCAGUGAAUUCUGCUAAAAUGGUCAGGCUUUGGUAAAGAGUUGGAAACAUCGUGCGGAGAUCCUUUCCAUGGAAUGAUACAGAUCCCCAUGUUCCAGGCGCUCUUCCAGAGAUUCAUAGAUUCCCAGUCCGGGUGGCUGGGUGGCGAGCCAACCGUGUUUGUGACUCUGACUUUAGACGGAUUGCCAGAAUCAUCUUCUUCAUCUUCAUGGUGGUAGGACAAACACUAACACGAACUAAAAAGGGCCCAACGUUGGUGACUGAACUCUUGUCAACAAAGGCAAGUGAAACUGAGGACGAACUAAGCUCAAGGGAAUUUAAGAGGGGAUUUAUUUACGUGCGCACUUUAUUAUUUUAGUUUGUUAUUUUUUUUCAUAACUGUUUUGUAUAUAUGUAUGUACCAGCCCAUGUGUGUUUAAUACAUUUUAUGCAAAUUGUCAUUCUGGUGUGGUAUUCUUUUUAUUGACCUUCAAUUCUCAGGCUCUUAACAAUUUAGCAUCUUCUGAUUCUGGUCCAAAUUCAUAUUACUGAUAACCUCUAAGACUACUUUAGACUACUACACCUAUGUACAUUCUUACUACCUCGUAAUAAGGGUUACAUAAAGUGGCGAGCCAGCC